rnacentral:tRNA from 4 species
GCUCACCUAGCUCAGGGGUAGAGCACUUCCUUGGUAAGGAAGAGGUCGGCGGUUCAAAUCCGCUGGUGAGCUCCA